rnacentral:lncRNA from 1 species
UAUAAUAUCGAAAAUUACAAUACCUAAAGUGACUAAAACCCAACACCCAAAAUGAUUUGAAUCCAUAAUAACCCGACAUGAAAAUCUAAACCUCAAACCCGAAUAACCCUAACUCGAGCUAUCCAAACUUGAAACAAUCAUACUCAAAAUGAUCAGAAUUCUAAAAGAGUAUUAUUUAAUUAAAAAUGAACUGAAUUUAAAGCCACCAAAACAAAAAAAAAAAAUAAUAAAUUGAAUUGAAACAACUCGAAUUCAUCGUUUAAUGACUCGAC